rnacentral:sRNA from 1 species
AGGUAAAACAGGGAUUUUACCUAUGUGCCGUCUCCCCACGUGACCACUCAUGUUAAAGGACCCUCAGCCUCUCCUGCUAGAACCUCCAAAAAGCUACCAAGAUCCAUUUGUCAGACAGAACAUAUUGUAGUCAAGCUUCUAAGACUCCAGACACAUCCAAAUGAGGCACUGCAUGUAGUAGUCUGCCUUUCUUU